rnacentral:rRNA from 1 species
UACGAAGGGGGCUAGCGUUGUUCGGAAUUACUGGGCGUAAAGCGCACGUAGGCGGCUCGAUCAGUCAGGGGUGAAAUCCCAGAGCUCAACUCUGGAACUGCCUUUGAUACUGUCGGUCUAGAGUAUGGAAGAGGUGAGUGGAAUUCCGAGUGUAGAGGUGAAAUUCGUAGAUAUUCGGAGGAACACCAGUGGCGAAGGCGGCUCGCUGGUCCAUUACUGACGCUGAGGUGCGAAAGCGUGGGGAGCAAACAGG